rfam:Triticum aestivum genome assembly, contig: Triticum_aestivum_CS42_TGACv1_scaffold_561568_7AL
AAAGUACUCCCUCCGUCCCAAAAUUCUUGUCUUAGAUUUGUCUAGAUACGGAUGUAUCAANNCUAGAUACGGAUGUAUCAAGUCACAUUUUAGUAUUAGAUACAUCCGUAUCUAGACAAAUCUAAGACAAGAAAUUUGGGAUAGAGGGAGUAGUUG